AUUGAACGCUGGCGGCAGGCCUAACACAUGCAAGUCGAGCGGAUGAAGGGAGCUUGCUCCUGGAUUCAGCGGCGGACGGGUGCGUAAUGCCUAGGAAUCUGCCUGGUAGUGGGGGAUAACGUCCGGAAACGGGCGCUAAUACCGCAUACGUCCUGUGGGAGAAAGUGGGGGAUCUUCGGAUCUCACGCUAUCAGAUGAGCCUAGGUCGGAUUAGCUAGUUGGUGGGGUAAAGGCCUACCAAGGCGACGAUCCGUAACUGGUCUGAGAGGAUGAUCAGUCACACUGGAGCUGAGACACGGUCCAGACUCCUACGGGAGGCAGCAGUGGGGAAUAUUGGACAAUGGGCGAAAGCCUGAUCCAGCCAUGCCGCGUGUGUGAAGAAGGUCUUCGGAUUGUAGAGCACUUUAAGUUGGGAGGAAGGGCAGUAAGUUAAUACCUUGCUGGUUUGACGUUACCAACAGAAUAAGCGCCGGCUAACUUCGUG
rnacentral:rRNA from 1 species